UUACUUCUUCCCUGACUAUUUGCUGGAAAUAGUAUUCUGGACUUUGCUUUUCCGUAAGAAGAUUUUAAACUUCUGAUUCAAUUUCCUUUAUGGUGAUAUGACUUUAUAUUUCCCAUUUCUCCCAAACUAAAUUUGGUGGGUACAGGAUAGUUAACAGUCAGCAAUUAACACGAUAACAAUAGCAAUGAAGGAAUUUGUGGUCUGCGCCCUGGCGCCAUUUGUUGUGCUCCGAGGGAUCCAAGGGGUCCGGAAAAGGGAAGUUACAAGUUACCUUGACAUUCCACAGGAGUAAAGAAAUUAAUCAACGAAGUACUCUUGAGGAUGUGACUUAAGAGGAGCAUUGGGAGGGGUUCCUUGGCCAAGAUGUCAGUCUCUCUAAUUUGUCCUCUGACCUUUAUCAUUUCAUUCUUUUGGAUCUUGAUUUUUUUUUUUUUUACCUUACCAUUCUCCAGAUUUUUAAGUGUGUCUUUGAAGCAUUAAAUAUGAACACCGAUCAUUAGUUAUCAUAUAACUACUAGCGGAUUAGUUGAUAGGUAGCUGAUAGCUGUUUUCUAGGACUAUGCAGUAGCAGAGAAGUUUCUGAUAGGAAAGAUAUAGGAUGUGUAUCAGAUUACUUAGACCACAUUCCUGGCUGCACUGUUUUCUCUGAGCAUUAGUUUCAUAAUUUCUGAAGGAGUAUUAAUUAUAUAUGUCAUAUAUAUAACCUGCCCUAUAUAUGUCUGCCCUAUAUAUGUCAUAAGGCCGUUACAUAAAAUUGCACUGUAAUUAAUAAAUUUUACCAUCUUCUUUAGUGCUUUUGUGUGAGUCAAAGAGUCAGGAAAGUGAAUUAGAGGUGAAGUGAAAAAGAAUGUCACUUUUAAUGAUUUUGCCCAAGAUUUGCCCACAAGGCCAAGUUUGAGGCUCAAAAAAGCAAAAUAAAUUUAAGAUGCAGUUUCUAAAAGAAGUUUAUACCUGGAGUGUUGUCACUUUUAAUUUACCCAUUCAUCUAACCAAGCAUCAGCAAACAAUUACCAAGCACCUAUCCUGUGCCAGGUGUGGAAAGAGCAAAGACUGAUAAAAACAAAAACAAAACCUGUCAUACCCCCACUCUUCUACUCUAGUUUUAGGAUUCCUAGGGUUAUGAAUUGUAUUAUCUUUAUUCAUUGAGUUUUCUUCUGUUCAACACUUUCAAACCAUUGUUUCCCAAAGUGGUUAUGCCCCUAAUUAAAGAGAUCUUUCUCUGUCAAAAAAAAACAAAUUUUCCAAAGGUAAUGAAAGAGAUCAUUUUAAAAAAUAUAUAUAUUUUUCUUGA